rnacentral:misc_RNA from 1 species
GAAGUGCGAUAAGCAAUGCGAAUUGCAGAAUUCCGCGAAUCAUCAGAUCUUUGAACGCAAAUGGCGCCAGAGGGAUAUCCUUCUGGCAUGUCUGUUUCAGUGUCUGAGAGGUUUCACAAUAAUCUUAAUGUGAUUGAACUGAAGUUAGUUAGUUAGUUUACUCUAACUCUCGUCUUUUCUCUCAUGAAAGAUGCGCGAGGGGAUCUUUCGGUCCAAUGAAGUGGUCACAUCACUCGAAUGUGAUUUCAUUGGAAGCACCGAAUUAUCAUUAUUAAAAACUCGCGGUAUCAUUUUUAUUGUUAAUAGUGGUGGUAUUUAUUUACUUAUUUAUCAUCAUCAUCAUUAUUACACUCUCUACACCCUGCAUCUGAGAUAGGCAAGAUCACCCGCUGAACUUAA